rnacentral:lncRNA from 1 species
UGCCCAAUUAAUUCAUGCAUAUUCCUGAUUAGUAGCUCAGGGAUCAAUACCCUCUUGCUGCUUGUCACCACAAUCGAAGCUUGCAGGUAUUCUAACUUUGUUCUCUCCAAUUCAGCUAGCACAUCACUUGUAUAAAUUUUCACCUGCAGAAAAAAUAUAUUCAUAAAGCAUCUAAGUUUUUUUUUUGGUUUUAUGGAUAUUUUUUACCUAAUAAACGACAAAAAAGACAGCCGACUACAUCAUAGUGAAUUCAUACUAGCUGCAACUUACUGCUGGAGAGGAACGGGUUCCACAGCACAGCGCAAAUGUGACAUUUGGGUCAGAUGAAUCCAGUCCAUAGAGUUCACGAGCAAUGGCUUCUUUAUCAUCCUUUUGGUAAAUCUAUAUGCAAAUUUAUGUAAUGUUUUUGAGUUUAAGACUACACCAGUUAUACAUGACAUAACUGCAUUUUUAUUUAGAUAGCGAUGCUUCUACCUCUUUUCUUAACGAGGAGGUUUGGUUUCUCAGUAUGAAAUGCUCAAUAGAUUGUGCAUUGAUAGUGUUUCCUCCAAUGUUGAGAGUAGCCUUCAAGAUUAUAUGGACCAUAUAUUCAUGAUGAAACCACGGUUGUUAUAUGCUAUAAGAAGUAAGUAAUUCUUACGAUGCUUGAAAGAUUAUUAAGUUACCUUGUUCAUUAAGGUGAGCAACUUUUCAGGACUAGAAGGAACUCCAUACUGCAGGAAUCCCUGAAAUUUACUCAAUUUACGAUGUAAAUGAGGCUGAUUAAAAGUAAUAUAUAUCCACACAAACACAAAUGAUAUUUUCAGAGAGAGUUGAAGCUUACAUGCAUAAUGCAAGCAUUGUACAUGUUGAUCCAGAAUGACAACUUCUGUUGGUAAGUCAUAAAUCUCAUAUCCAGCUUUUGAAGUCCAUUCAUCAACUCUCUUCAUGAAGUCAAAAUACUCGUGAAAAAGUUUAUUUUCAUAAUGUAAAAAGAAAAGAAAUAAAACAUAUGUUUCUCAGGCUUUCAUUGUGUUUGUGUUAGAAUAUAUGUUCAAUCUUGUACCUCAACUUCUGAAGCAGCGGGAAAGAACUAGAAUUGGAAAUGCAUUUGGGGUCCAAGGAGCUUGAGGUGAAUCGAACCAAGUGCUUGUAGGGGCCAAUAUCUCUUGGAAUGGACUCUUCCAUAUCAAAGAUACCAUAUGGAUCUUGUUGCCUUGAAUCUUUCUGCAACAUAAGGCUUGCUUUUGUAUUUAAGCUUGUCUCAGCUCUGAAGCUCAGAGAAAAAUUCGCAGACCUUGAAAUGGGACCUGAUUUCUCAAGUUCCAUGGCUCUUGAUGUAUGGCAACUAAAAUGGGACGGAGGGAGUAUAUAGUUGACUCUGAAAUUCAGAAUAUAACCGUACAAAGCUCAGUAAUUGGAUAGUACAGGAAGUCUCCUCUUAUACAGAUUGUUGGCAUGAAAAGUUUGACGCAAUAAUCUCCUUUUUAUGCUGUAACUGAUAUAAAAGAUUCUAUUAACAAAUGUGUUGGAAUCCAACUCUCGAUGCAAGGGAUCACAGAACAAAAAUCACCCUUUACACUUACAAGUAGAGAUUUAUUUUGUAUUACUAAUAGGUGUACUGGUAUGCCAUGCCAGGACGGCAGGACCCUUAAGGCCUUAAGCAACAUACCAUCCAUCCAACCGCUGGACGAGGUUAUUUUCCCCGUCCAGCGGUUAAAAACGCUGAACGUAUUAAAAUUUUGUCAUGGCCAGAAAAUGAUAUGUUGGUUAGGGGCUUCCUGACGUACAUCUGUGAGAGACCAAGACCCUACUAAUAGAUAUGUAGUUGUAUAUGUAGUGAAUUAUAAAGUUACGGAAACAUUAUGAUUUUACAUGGACAACAGAUACUGAAACUCAAACUCAUAAGGAAUCUUAUCAACAACCCGUGAUAGCUUGCCACUGCUAAGCCCUCUGAAGCAAUCCACCAUUGAUUUCCUUAAUGACCCUGAUGCUGGUAGUUGGUGACACACCCAUUCCACUAAUGAUUCCAUGUUAUUCUUACUAUUUUGCCCAAUUAAUUCAUGCAUAUUCCUGAUUAGUAGCUCAGGGAUCAAUACCCUCUUGCUGCUUGUCACCACAAUCGAAGCUUGCAGGUAUUCUAACUUUGUUCUCUCCAAUUCAGCUAGCACAUCACUUGUAUAAAUUUUCACCUGCAGAAAAAAUAUAUUCAUAAAGCAUCUAAGUUUUUUUUUUGGUUUUAUGGAUAUUUUUUACCUAAUAAACGACAAAAAA